AACGAACGCUGGCGGCAGGCUUAACACAUGCAAGUCGAACGGAUCCUUCGGGAUUAGUGGCAGACGGGUGAGUAACGCGUGGGAACGUACCCUUUGCUACGGAAUAACUCAGGGAAACUUGAGCUAAUACCGUAUGUGCCCUGCGGGGGAAAGAUUUAUCGGCAAAGGAUCGGCCCGCGUUGGAUUAGCUAGUUGGUGGGGUAAUGGCCUACCAAGGCGACGAUCCAUAGCUGGUCUGAGAGGAUGAUCAGCCACACUGGGACUGAGACACGGCCCAGACUCCUACGGGAGGCAGCAGUGGGGAAUAUUGGACAAUGGGCGCAAGCCUGAUCCAGCCAUGCCGCGUGAGUGAUGAAGGUCUUAGGAUUGUAAAGCUCUUUCACCGGUGAAGAUAAUGACGGUAGCCGGAGAAGAAGCCCCGGCUAACUUCGUG
rnacentral:rRNA from 1 species